rnacentral:tRNA from 1 species
GUUGAUAUGGCCGAGUUGGUCUAAGGCGCAGGAUUGAGGUUCCUGUCCGAAAGGGCGUGGGUUCAAAUCCCACUGUCAACA